rnacentral:rRNA from 1 species
UACGUAGGGGGCUAGCGUUGUCCGGAAUCAUUGGGCGUAAAGAGCGUGUAGGCGGCCCGGUAAGUCCGCUGUGAAAGUCGGGGGCUCAACCCUCGAAUGCCGGUGGAUACUGUCGGGCUAGAGUGCGGAAGAGGCGAGUGGAAGUUCCUGGUGUAGCGGUGAAAUGCGCAGAUAUCAGGAGGAACACCAAUUGCGAAGGCAGCUCGCUGGGACGUAACUGACGCUGAGACGCGAAAGCGUGGGGAGCAAACAGG